CGCGGGGUGGAGCAGCCUGGUAGCUCGUCGGGCUCAUAACCCGAUGGUCGUCGGUUCAAAUCCGGCCCCCGCAACCA
rnacentral:tRNA from 1 species